GACGAACGCUGGCGGCAUGCCUAAUACAUGCAAGUCGAGCGAACAGAUGAAGUGCUUGCACUUCUGACGUUAGCGGCGAACGGGUGAGUAACACGUAAGGAAUCUACCUAUAAGCGGGGGAUAACAUUCGGAAACGGGUGCUAAUACCGCAUAAUAUCUUCUUCCGCAUGGAAGAAGAUUGAAAGACGGCUCUGCUGUCACUUAUAGAUGACCUUGCGGUGCAUUAGUUAGUUGGUGGGGUAACGGCCUACCAAGACGAUGAUGCAUAGCCGAACUGAGAGGGUGAUCGGCAACAUUGGGACUGAGACACGGCCCAAACUCCUACGGGAGGCAGCAGUAGGGAAUCUUCCGCAAUGGGCGAAAGCCUGACGGAGCAAUGCCGCGUGAGUGAAGAAGGCCUUCGGGUCGUAAAACUCUGUUAUAAGAGAAGAACAAAUUGUAGAGUAACUGCUACAGUCUUGACGGUAUCUUAUCAGAAAGCCACGGCUAACUACGUGCCAGCCGCCGCAGUAA
rnacentral:rRNA from 1 species